GGAUGAACGCUAGCUACAGGCUUAACACAUGCAAGUCGAGGGGAAACGACAUUGAAGCUUGCUUCGAUGGUCGUCGACCGGCGCACGGGUGAGUAACGCGUAUCCAACCUGCCUCUGACCAAGGGAUAACCCGUCGAAAGUCGGCCUAAUACCUUAUGCAGUCGUCGGAAGUCAUCUGAUGACGACGAAAGAUUUCAUCGGUGAGAGAUGGGGAUGCGUCUGAUUAGCUUGUUGGCGGGGUAACGGCCCACCAAGGCAACGAUCAGUAGGGGUUCUGAGAGGAAGGUCCCCCACAUUGGAACUGAGACACGGUCCAAACUCCUACGGGAGGCGGCAGUGAGGAAUAUUGGUCAAUGGGCGAGAGCCUGAACCAGCCAAGUAGCGUGCAGGAUGACGGCCCUAUGGGUUGUAAACUGCUUUUAUGCGGGGAUAAAGUGAGGGACGUGUCCUUCAUUGCAGGUACCGCAUGAAUAAGGACCGGCUAAUUCCGUG
rnacentral:rRNA from 1 species